UUAAUAUAAUUAUUCUCCCGUUCGUAUUUUCGCCGUAUUUUUGUUUUUUUAUCCCAUUUUUUCGCGUUUCGAUUACGUUUGUUUUUCCGUCGGUAUUAUAUUUUCGCCUGUUUUUAACCGUGGUUUUAAAAACCCGAUCGAAACGUUUUCCUUUUUUCCUACUGUUAAUAAUUUUGGCCAAAAUAACCCUAUUUCUAUUCGUAAUACCGCUAUUAUUUUUGUUAAUAAUCCCAAAAUCUUUGCAAUAAAUUAAUUCGGCGCCGUUUCGGACGUAUUUCUUUAUUAACCGUGGUUAUAAUAUAUCCGUCGCGUUACCGGUUCGAACAAAUUCGAAAGUAAUUCCAACGAUAAAAAAUACGCCGCGUUUGAAUCACGUAUCCCGGUUUAUUUCCUUUAUAUUAAAUUUUCCAAAAUUAUUAAUAUUUUGGAUUAUCGCCCCUAUUUUACCGGAACGGCCUGCAACCGGUAUAAUAAAUAUAAAAAAUUGUUUUGCGAUUAUAACGAAAAAUUAUAUAUGCGAAAUCUUUUUUUGCGCCGCCAAUUCCACAAUUUAUAACGUAUUAUAAUCGGUAACCGCUAUAUUCUUUUCCCUAAAAUAUUGGCGAUACGUAACGCCAAUAAUGAAAUUAUUAAAUUCGGGUAUAAUAUUAAAAUAACGGCCGAAUUUAAUUUUGUUUAUACCGCGUAUAUACGCAAAUAUAACCGGUUUCGUAACGAGGAGAUUUUUGGUGCGAUUUUUGGUUUUAGUGGUUUUAACGUUUUGUUUUUGGUAUAUUAUAACGGCGGUAAUAAAACCGUUUAAUAAUUUAUUAUCGGUUUCGCCCAAACUUUAAAAUAUAUGGAGGUAAAUACCCGUUCUUUCCGAUCCGCAAUCCGAUUGGCGUUAAUUGGUACAAUUAAAAACGCAAUAACAAACGUUAUUAAUAAUUAUUAAAAAUCCAACGCGAAUCCGUUAUUAUUUAACGCGAAACCAACGUCGUUAUUUUCGUUUUUAUUACCGUUAUUAAUAUGCGUUCCGAAUUCCGCCCAAUACGGUAUUUAUUUAUUCCCCUAUACCGCCCCGACCGGUUACGUACGGUUUUUUUCGCGUUAUUUUUAUUUUUAUUUGUCGGCCUCGUUUUGGUUUUUACAAAUAUUUUAACCAAUUGCGCUAUAAUUUCUUUAGACUUUUUGUUUUUAUUAUCCAAACGUUUGCCCGGAACCCUAUUUCCCCCUCUGUUUUCGCCAUAUCUCGCCGAAUCGCGCGCCGUCGCCCCCAAUAAAAUCCCGUUAUACGGUCCGCCGUUACCGUUUAGGUUUUUAUCAUUUUCCAAUUUUUUAUCGCCGCGCUGCAAUUUUUUAUUCCGUACGACAAUAAUAUUAAAUAUAUGGGUUAUUACGAACCGGAUCCGCAAAAAUACAAUUUAUAUAACGAUAAUUAAUAUAAUUAAUAGGUGUUUUAUUAUCGUUCGUAACCGCCCCGUUACUUGUCCUAAUCCCGUUAUUUUUUAUUAAUUUUUUAUUUUUUAUUAUUCCGCCGGUACGCGGUAAUCGGCCGACCUAUAUAUUAAUUUUUUUUAAAUAAGCUUAUUUUUUUCGUAAACUUUAACCGGUUUUGGGGUUUUUAAUAUUUUUAUUGUAUAUAAUUACGCGUAAAUAUUUGGCCCAUCAAUUCCGUUACCGAAAUAUAUAAAUGUAAAACGCGUAAUAAUUUCGCGUCACGCCGUCGCGAAUCCGCGGCGUUGGACCUUUUUUCUUUUAUAUCCGCAAUUAAAAAAAAUAUUGGUAUAACGAUAGCGGUUAAUUUACAACGUUUGGAAAUUGGUUCGUUAUUGGUAAAAA
rnacentral:sRNA from 1 species